CCAUUGUGCCGCUCCCGGGGCGGAGCCAGGGAUUGGUCUGCGGGGCGCGGGGCAGGGCCGGGGCCUGCGGAAGGGGACGCUGUGGAGAGGAGAGCCGCUGCCUCGCGCCAGCCCUUUCUCAGGGCGGGGGAGGGUCUGACCGCGGCAGCGUUGAGCUCCGGGAGAUGCUGACUGGGAGAGUUCCCCCCCUAAACCGGGACCUCAAGGACUCCGGUAUUGAAGAUCAGCGUGAGAGAAAAAAAAGAGUAAUUUCCUGCCAAGGAGAAAAUAGGGAACCGAAAACAGCGAGACGGAUAAAGGCGGCUCCGAUUGCAGAAUUUAGGGAAGGAGUAACAUGUUCACUGAGGUUGCUCACAUGUUGAUUACUUGGGCUGAGGAGUCCCCGGUCUCUGAAGGUGACCCAGAAGACCCAAGGGAACACCUGAAACUAAAGGCUGGGUGGAAAUGGCUUCCCAGCCUGAGAGCAGUGGAGACUUCUUGAUGUGUUCUGGAGUUAGUAAUUAUCACCAUUUUAAUUUUUGGAGACUCUUUAUAAAGAGGAUGAGAUCAAGGCAUUCAUCACAGGUUUCACAGAACAGAUUAUUUUAAAAUCACUGGUUAAAUUAAGGGAAUGUUUGGAGCAGUGGCAGAUUAUGAGCGGAUGACAGUAAAAAGCAGUUUGUCAAAAGCUGAUUCUAGGAAAGAAAAAUGGGAAAAGUGAAAGGAAGAGCUGUUAGAGGGGGUGAAAAUGUACAAGGAGAAAAUUAAAGCAAAAUUACUGAAAAUGAGUCCUACAAAAAUCAGAUUUUAUUUAUUCAUAGAAGACAGAGAGAGAGAGAGGCAGAGACAAAGGCAGAGGGAGAAGCAGCCUCCCUGCAGGGACCCCAACUUGGGACUCUAUCGGGGACUCCAGGACAGCCUGAGCUGAAGGCAGACAUUUUAACUGCUGAGCACCCAGGCGUCCUAUGGUAUGCACUCUUAACUGCCGCACCCUUGAACCCAAGAGAGAGAGACUUGGGCUGGCUUACAAGCCCCUUUUUUGGCUUCCUUUCCCACUGAGAGAAGAAAAGAAUGAUGUAAAAAAGGUCUUUACUGCCUAAUAUCAAUGUUAAUUUCAUUGACUACCACCAGAAUCUGAAGAAUGAUCCCUUCGUCAGAGAAAAAGUUCUUAUACUUCCUCAAGGACCCUUUUAGAGGAGACCAUUCUAGGAGCCCUGGAUACUCAGUGAUUGAGCUAAACUUGAUGCCUGUCUUUGAUUACUGCUUAUUUUCACUUUGAAAGCAGUCAGAAAUCCUGGACUGAUGGACUUCCGUGUAACAACAAAGUAGUGGGGAGCAAGUGUGGUCACUUUCAGUGGGUGGUGGCCACAUGCCAGAGGGUAUGUGGGGACCCAGGAAGGAACCCUGUUGGUUGGAGUGGGAAGAACCAAAAGCUAGAAUUGAGGCAGAAGAGCUGUUGUUGUGACUGUAUUUGACCCUCAUACCAGAGUCACUCAAGAUUAUAACAACCAUCACUAUUACUCCAGUGCAGAAAUAAAACUCUUCCCUGGAGGAUAAUUGUUCAUAAUUUUUUUAAAAAGAUUUAUUUAGGGAUCUCUGGGUGGCUCAGUGGUUUAGUGCCUGCCUU